UACGUAGGAGGCGAGCGUUGUCCGGAUUCAUUGGGCGUAAAGAGCACGCAGGCGGUUUGGCAAGUCGGAUGUGAAAACCCGAAGCUCAACUUCGGGCCUGCAUCCGAAACUGCCCGACUAGAGGUAGGUAGGGGAGAUCGGAAUCCUGGUGUAGCGGUGAAAUGCGCAGGAUAUCAGGAGGAACACCGGUGGCGAAGGCG
rnacentral:rRNA from 1 species